rnacentral:tRNA from 1 species
UUUUUAAACUAUUUAAAU